CACCUUUUAUGGAAUGUUGAUAGUCCAUAUAUGGAAUUGAGAGCUCAUAUCUCUCAUUCCUCAAGUCACCCAGGAUCAAUUGUGCAUAUUCAAUCUCACAUGAGUGGCAAGCCAUGGAAAACUGUAAAAAACCUUAAUUCUAUUCAAACACUAUAAAAAUGGGAGUACCCUACCCAAAAUCUCUACACCAUAUUGCUUACACCUAAAAUCUCUCUCUUCUGUCUC
rnacentral:lncRNA from 1 species